rnacentral:misc_RNA from 1 species
GAUGAAGAACGUAGCGAAAUGUGAUACUUGGUGUGAAUUGCAGAAUCCCGUGAACCAUCGAGUCUUUGAACGCAAGUUGCGCCCGAAGCCAUUUGGUUGAGGGCACGUCUGCCUGGGCGUCACAUAUCGUUGCCCGAUGCCUAUUGCACUGUGAUAGGAAAUUCUAGGGCGAAAGAUGGCUUCCCGUGAGCGUUGUUGCCUCGCGGUUGGUUGAAAAUCGAGUUCUUGGUAGGGUGUGCCAUGAUAGAUGGUGGUCGAGUUUGCACGAGACCGAUCAUGUGUGCGCUCCCCAAAAUAUGGACUCUUUGACCCCACACGCGUCUUUUGACGCUCAUGACGAGACCUCAGGUCAGGCGGGGCUACCCGCUGAGUUUAAGCAUAUCAAUAAGCGGAGGA